rnacentral:rRNA from 1 species
UACGUAGGUGGCAAGCGUUAUCCGGAUUUACUGGGUGUAAAGGGCGUGUAGGCGGGGAAGCAAGUCAGAUGUGAAAACCACGGGCUCAACCUGUGGCCUGCAUUUGAAACUGUUUUUCUUGAGUACUGGAGAGGCAGACGGAAUUCCUAGUGUAGCGGUGAAAUGCGUAGAUAUUAGGAGGAACACCAGUGGCGAAGGCGGUCUGCUGGACAGCAACUGACGCUGAGGCGCGAAAGCGUG